UGGGCGUUAUAAAUGUAAAUAUAUUGGUAAAUGUUCCUAUUUUUAAUUUCAGACUAUAGUUUUUUGUUAUCUGAAAAUGUUCAACAUGACUGAUAGAUAAUUCGUACUUAGAACAUGACAAAUCUCUCACGCAACCUGUAAAGCAGUACAUCACAUGUUGCUAUUGUCUUUCAAUUUUAACCCUUGUGAGAAGUGCUGGGUAAAGUAAAUAAUCGGCUUGAGUGCAUACAUGAUGGACGUAUGAUGGAAGAAUAGCCGUCAGAUCCCUCUGAAAUAAACAGCAGCGUGAACUGGUUGAACAAUGAGUACAAAUUACAGCACAGCAAAAUACAAUUAUC